CCCUUAGAUGUUCUGGGCCGCACGCGCGCUACACUGAUGCAUGCAACGAGCUCUACCCUUGACCGAAAGGCCCGGGUAAACUUGUGAAACUUCAUCGUGAUGGGGAUAGAUUAUUGCAAUUAUUAAUCUUCAACGAGGAAUUCCUAGUAAGCGCGAGUCAUCAGCUCGCGUUGAUUACGUCCCUGCCCUUUGUACACACCGCCCGUCGCUCCUACCGAUUGAAUGGUCCGGUGAAACCUCGGGAUUGUGGCCAGUUCACUUUAUUGGGAGUUGGCUGCGAGAACUUGUCUAAACCUUAUCAUUUAGAGGAAGGUGAAGGCGUAACA
rnacentral:rRNA from 1 species